UGGGGAAUAUUGGACAAUGGGCGCAAGCCUGAUCCAGCCAUGCCGCGUGAGUGAUGAAGGCCCUCGGGUUGUAAAGCUCUUUCAUCGGUGAAGAUAAUGACGGUAACCGGAGAAGAAGCUCCGGCUAACUUCGUGCCAGCAGCCGCGGUAAUACGAAGGGGGCUAGCGUUGUUCGGAUUUACUGGGCGUAAAGCGCACGUAGGCGGACUAUUAAGUCAGGGGUGAAAUCCCGGGGCUCAACCCCGGAACUGCCUUUGAUACUGGUAGUCUUGAGUUCGAGAGAGGUGAGUGGAAUUCCGAGUGUAGAGGUGAAAUUCGUAGAUAUUCGGAGGAACACCAGUGGCGAAGGCGGCUCACUGACUAGAUACUGACGCUGAGGUGCGAAAGCGUGGGGAGCAAACAGG
rnacentral:rRNA from 1 species